CUGCAAGCCUCCAGCAUGCUGGGUCUGGAGUGACACUAUGCCUUCUUACACUGCUUGCAAGAACAUUAUGAAACGGUUUGAGACUUUGCCCUGCUCCAUCCAGAGCAAGGUUAUAGAAAUUUCAGACAAUU
rnacentral:snoRNA from 1 species